rnacentral:rRNA from 1 species
CUACGUGCCAGCAGCCGCGGUAAUACGGAAGGUCCGGGCGUUAUCCGGAUUUAUUGGGUUUAAAGGGAGCGUAGGCCGGAGAUUAAGUGUGUUGUGAAAUGUAGACGCUCAACGUCUGACUUGCAGCGCAUACUGGUUUCCUUGAGUACGCACAACGUUGGCGGAAUUCGUCGUGUAGCGGUGAAAUGCUUAGAUAUGACGAAGAACUCCGAUUGCGAAGGCAGCUGACGGGAGCGCAACUGACGCUUAAGCUCGAAGGUGCGGGUAUCGAACAGGAUUAGAUACCCUGGUAGUCCACGCGGUAAACGAUGGAUGCUCGUUGUCGGCCCUUAGGGUCGGUGACCAAGCGAAAGCGUUAAGCAUCCCACCUGGGGAGUACGCCGGCAACGGUGAAACUCAAAGGAAUUGACGGGGGCCCGCACAAGCGGAGGAGCAUGUGGUUUAAUUCGAUGCAACGCGAAGAACCUUACCUACUCUUGACAUCCAGA